rnacentral:tRNA from 1 species
GGAGCAAUGGCUUAGUGUUUAAGAGCACUGGUUNUUCUUUCAGAGGACCUGGGUUCAAUUCCCAGACCCUCCA